AACGAAGGGGGCUAGCGUUGUUCGGAAUCACUGGGCGUAAAGCGCACGUAGGCGGACUGGUCAGUUGGGGGUGAAAUCCCGGGGCUCAACCUCGGAACUGCCUUCAAUACUGCCAGUCUUGAGUCCGAGAGAGGUGAGUGGAAUUCCUAGUGUAGAGGUGAAAUUCGUAGAUAUUAGGAAGAACACCAGUGGCUAAGGCGGCUCACUGGCUCGGUACUGACGCUGAGGUGCGAAAGCGUGGGGAGCAAACAGG
rnacentral:rRNA from 1 species